UCUAAAUACAGGAGGCACUAUUAGCAGAGAAAAGGAAUCUAGAUCAACUGGAGUUUAAACUAUCUUCGGCUCUCAAAAAGGAAGAAAAAGAAAAUAAACGAUUACUUACAGAAGCAAAUAGUGUUGAUUCAACUUCAUUAAAUAUGACUGAACAAUAUCAUCCAAUUUUGGAAAGUUUGGUCGCUACAAGAAAUGUGUUGCUAUAAAAUUUGUCAGAAAGCCAAUCUGAUGCCAACCUGUAUAUAGAUCUGUCAGAAAUGCAAUCUGAAGCCACCCCUUUAACAAAGAUCUGCAUCACACCUGAUUGGGAGCAUACUCCAAAGUGCUACUUAUGUAUAUAUUUUGUUAAUACUGGUUUAAAUGUUAAUAAAACUUUUCUGGAAAAAGUAAUUGAAUUUUUUUUUAAUGUAAUUUGUAUGUUUUUUAUGUAAUGUUGAUAGAUUGAUAUUACAAUUAACUAAUAAGAUGCGUCCAAAUAUAAAAUUUGGAUAUUUUGUUUUCUUUUACUUAUGGAUGGAUCUUAAAUUAAAAUUCAGAUCAGA
rnacentral:sRNA from 1 species